rnacentral:rRNA from 1 species
GUCUUUUUGAAAUAAUUUAAAGUCUAAUCUGCCCACUGAUAAAAUUAAAGGGCUGCAGUAUAAUGACUGUACAAAGGUAGCAUAAUCAAUAGUUUUUUAAUUGAAAACUUGUAUGAAAGAUUUGAUGAAAUAUAAACUGUCUCUAAUUUAUAAAUAGAAUUUUAUUUUUUAGUAAAAAAGCUUAAAUAAAUUUAAAAGACGAGAAGACCCUAUAGAGUUUUAUAUUUAAUUUUAUUAAAAAAUUAUAUAAAAAUUAAUAUUUAAAUAAAAUUAAAUAUUAUAUUGGGGUGAUAGAAAAAUUAAAUUAACUUUUUUUAAAAAUUAAACAUAAAUAAAUGAUUAUAUGAUCCAUAAAUAAUGAUUAUAAGAAGAAAUUACCUUAGGGAUAACAGCGUAAUAUUUUUUUUUAGUUCAAAUAAAAAAAAAAGUUUGCGACCUCGAUGUUGGAUUAAGAUAAAAUUUAAAUGCAAAAGUUUAAAAGUUUUGAUCUGUUCGAUCAUUAAAAUCUUACA